rnacentral:tRNA from 1 species
GGCCCCGUGGUCAAGCGGUUAAGACACUGCCCUUUCACGGCAGUUACAUGGGUUCGAACCCCGUCGGGGUCACCA